rfam:Gossypium raimondii Chr10_contig_210, whole genome shotgun sequence.
UAUUAAAUAUUUCAUCUAUUUGUACUAUUAAAAACUAGUGUGGUUGACAGAAUAACCAAAUAGUGACAUAUGAUGUGCCACAUAUAUCUCAUGUUGACGUACAUGAACUCAUUUUUAACACCAGAAAUAAAUUAAAUUUUUAACA